GGGUGUAGUCACAGUUGUCAUAGUGACGUAAAUGCUACCGUCACUUGUAGCUGUCCAUCUGGUCUGGUUCUGGCGGGAGAUAAGAAGAUUUGUGUGACUCCAUGCCUUCAUCAAAAUGGUGGUUGCAGCCAUUUCUGCAAAGCAGACGACAAGGGGAAAAUAUCCUGUGGAUGCCCGGCGAACAUGGUGUUAGCGAAAGAUAACAAAACAUGCAUCAGCACAUGCCGCAUCAACAAUGGCGGAUGCAG